GAUUUUAGGUUGGUGCCGGAUCCAUCAAUCAUGUGGUAAGUUCAUUGUACAUACAAAAGAUCACUAAAAAUUCACUGAGAUGGGCCACCCCACUAGGAACAAUCUAGAAUUGCACCGAAUCCAACACAUGAAGGUGAUAUUGAGGUUCCAUUUUGUAGAGAGGGUUGAGAUGAGGUGUGUGCCCAAUCAACGAUCACAAUUGCCUAUUUUUUAAAUGUGUUUGAGAGAGUUUAGGCUUUGAAUUUGGGUUGUCUUUGAAUAAUUCAAACUAUUUAUACGAUGUUUCUUAUAUGGUAGAUAGAUAACCAAUAAAAUCUUUACAUAUGAUUGAUACAUUCAAUCGAAGAGAUUUUUGGGUCAUCCCGCAUUCGGGAUGUCAAUGGGUUCUAGACCCAUGGGUCCGGGUACUUGAUGGACCUGGCAUAACUUUAAGGGGUCUAGGUCCCAUAGAUAAAUUUGAACAGGCCAUAUAUUUCCUUUCCUUUUCUUUAAAAAUUUUAGGUACUGUCAUUAACAAUAAGAGUUGGGCUUUUGGCAUGGCUUUAUCCUUGGGCAGGUAUUCUAAGCUCGAUUGGAUGGAUAUAUUAGCAAACUGAAGAAUAUAUCAAUGGUCAAUUGAAAAAUAAACAUGGUGGUACUUUUAUCCGAGUAAAUAAUGGUAACAUAGGUCCAUUUUUACUAAUAAAUGUGAUUUUUUUCUUUUGAUUGAUGAGGGAUGGGGACCAAGGAUUGAUGCCCAAUCAACGAUCACAAUUGCAUAUUUUUUUAAAACAUGUUUGAGAGUUUAGGCUUUGAAUUUGGGUUGUCUUUGAAUAAUUCAAACUAUUUAUAUGACGUUUCUUAUAUGGUAGAUAGAUAACCAAUAAAAUCUUUACAUAUGAUUGAUACAUUCAAUCGAAAAGAUUUUUGGGUCAUCCCACAUUUGGGAUGUCAAUGGGUAUGGGUCCGGGUACUUGAUGGACCUAGCAUAACUUUAAGGGGUCCAGGUCCCAUAGAUAAAUUUGAACAGGCCAUAUAUUUCCUUUCAUUUUCUUUGAAGGGUCCAGGUACUUGAUGGACCUGGCAUAACUUUUAAGGGGUCCAGGUCCCAUAUAUAAAUUUGAACAGGCCAUAUAUUUCCUUUCAUUUUCUUUGAAAAUUUUAGGUACUAUCAUUAACGAUAAGAGUUGGGCUUUUGGCAUGGCUUUAUCCUUGGGCCGGUAUUCUAAGCUUGAUUGGAUGGAUAUAUUAGCAAACUGAAGAAUAAAUCAAUGGUCAACUGAAAAAUAAACAUGGUGGUACUUUCAUCCAAGGAAAUAAUGGUAGCAUAGGUCCAUUUUUACUAAGAAAUGUGAUUGUGUUUUUACUUUUGAUUGAUGAGGGAUGGGGACCAAGGAUUGAUGAUGACUUGCCCAAGCUGCCUAUGACUCAUCCCAGUCUCAAUUGGAAUCAUGACCAAAUGAUUCAGCUGGAAUUGUUGAGUCAAAACACAAUGAUGAGGGCAUCUACUUUCUUUAUUGAUGCAGUUCUCUAUUUAUCAGUACAUGCCAAGUAACCAAACUGUGGCACUACCGAAGAACAUAAAGAGGCGAGGUAUGGAAUAAUCCAUGAAGAUAAGGAAACCAUUUCCUUUGAACUUUGCUUACUAGUUAUCUUGCAUUAUGCAAUGAAAAGGCCAAAUUGACAUGUGGGUUUUGAGUUCCGACUUGAAUAGGCUUGGGCCUGUAAGGACUCACUGACGAGCUUAGGCUAGAUUUAGCCUAGGUCGGCCUUGCCUAUGGGUCAACUGACUCAGACCGCUUUU